rnacentral:rRNA from 1 species
GGGUUAGUAGGCUGGUCGUGCCACCGGUACGUACUGGUCUUACUGAUUCCUCCUUCCUGAUGAACUGUAAUGCCAUUAAUUUGGUGUUGCAGGGAAUCUGGACUGUUACUUUGAAAAAAUUAGAGUGUUUAAAGCAGGCUAACGCUUGAAUACAUUAGCAUGGAAUAAUGAAAUAGGACGUUCGAUCCUAUUUUGUUGGUUUCUAGGAUUGACGUA